AUUGAGAAUUUGAUCCUGGUUCAGGAUGAAUGCUGGCAGUGUACCUUAAGCAUGCAAGUCGAACGGAUGAGGCCGCAAGGCCAAAUCAGUGGCAGACGGGUGAGGAUUGACAGGAACCUACCUUUUGUUGGGGAAUAGCUCGCCGAAAGGCGAGAUAAUACCGCAUAAGAUCGCAAGAUGAAAGGCCUUAACCGGCCGACGAUAGAUGGGCCUGUUUGCUAUCAGCUAGUUGGUGAGGUAAUGGCUCACCAAGGCUAUGACGGCUAGGGGACGUGAGAGCGUGGUCCCCCACAAUGUUACUUAGACACGGAACAUACACCUACGGGUGGCAGCAACUGGGAAUUUUGCACAAUGGACGAAAGUCUGAUGCAGUGACACUGCGUGUAGGAUGAAGGCCCUCGGGUCGUAAACUACUGUGAUAGGGGAAAAAAUUUUGAUGGUACCCUAUUAGAAAGUACUUGCUAACUACGUGCCAGAAGCCUCGGUAAUACGUAGAGUACAAGCAUUAUCCGGAUUUAUUGGGCGUAAAGAGUAUCGUAGGCGGUCUAUUAAGUAACGGGUUAAAGCCCGGGGCUCAACCCCGGAGAUGUCCGUUAAACUGGUAGACUUGUGGAUGUUCGGGGUUACUAGAAUUCUUGGUGGAAGAGUGAAAUCUGUUGAUAUCAAGAAGAAUACCAAAAGCGAAGGCAGGUAACUAGGACAUUCCAGACGCUGAUGAACGAAAGCUAGGGGAGCGAAAGGGAUAGAGACCCCUGUAGUCCUAGCCGUAAACUAUGAACACUAGCUAUUUCCCGUAAGGGGAGUGGCGUAAGCUAACGCGUUAAGUGUUCCGCCUGGGG
rnacentral:rRNA from 1 species